GAUGAACGCUGGCGGCGUGCCUAAUACAUGCAAGUCGAGCGAACAGAUGAGGAGCUUGCUCCUCUUACGUUAGCGGCGGACGGGUGAGUAACACGUGGAUAACCUACCUAUAAGACUGGGAUAACUUCGGGAAACCGGAUCUAAUACCGGAUAAUAUAUUGAACCGCAUGGUUCAAUAGUGAAAGACGGUUUUGCUGUCACUUAUAGAUGUAUCCGCGCCGCAUUAGCUAGUUGGUAAGGUAACGGCUUACCAAGGCAACGAUGCGUAGCCGACCUGAGAGGGUGAUCGGCCACACUGGAACUGAGACACGGUCCAGACUCCUACGGGAGGCAGCAGUAGGGAAUCUUCCGCAAUGGGCGAAAGCCUGACGGAGCAACGCCGCGUGAGUGAUGAAGGUCUUCGGAUCGUAAAACUCUGUUAUUAGGGAAGAACAAAUGUGUAAGUAACUAUGCACGUCUUGACGGUACCUAAUCAGAAAGCCACGGCUAACUACGUG
rnacentral:rRNA from 1 species